CACGUAGGGCGCGAGCGUUGUCCGGAAUUAUUGGGCGUAAAGAGCUCGUAGGCGGCCUGUUGCGUCCGCUGUGAAAGCCCGGGGCUUAACCCCGGGUCGGCAGUGGAUACGGGCAGGCUAGAGGUAGGUAGGGGAGAAUGGAAUUUCCGGUGUAGCGGUGAAAUGCGUAGAGAUCCGGAAGAACACCGGUGGCGAAGGCGGCCUGCUGGGCAGUAGCUGACGCUGAGGCGCGACAGCGUGGGGAGCAAACAGG
rnacentral:rRNA from 1 species